CAGUCGUACCGGCGGAUAAUCAGCCUUUCGGGUGCGAUUCUGUGGGGCGUGAGGAGCUUAACCGCCUUCAUGUUUUGCAUAUUAGUGCACAUUUGGUGUACUUGUCCGUGUGGUAGGUUAACAUCAAUUUUGGUCGUCAUAAAAUGACUGGAGGAAUGUAGCUUUGGUCUCGUAUCGAAGUGUUAUAGACUCUGGUAGAUGUGACGGGUUGGGAUUGAGGAUUGCAACGGAUACCCUUCGGGGCUACCUGUCUGAUCUCUGAAGGUUGCU
rnacentral:rRNA from 1 species